AGCAUUUCGAAUCCGUGCUGAGAUUUCGUCAGACACCAAGCCACUAGGGAUGAUCAGACUUCCAAGAUAAGUGAAGUU
rnacentral:pre_miRNA from 1 species